CUUUAAAUAAAACAUACAACUGUGUAUAGGAAUUAUUUAGCGUUUAAGUAAAAAAAAUGCUAAGACCUCAUUGAAAAAUGUUGAUUUGCUACGUUAUCCUAACUUUGUUGUUUCUGCCCAAGGUAAGAUUCCUGAACUUAAGGUGGAAUGGGUGGGCGCGUAUCCGUUAGCUAAUCUCAUCUUACUCCGUAUGUAAUGUUUUAAUUAAAAUGGCAUAGUCGCCCUCAACGUUUAUGUGGUAAUGUUUAAUUUUCACAAAUUUAAACAAUUCAAUAUUUACAAAGCUAGUAGGAAGUAUUUCUCUAGAAGAUUAUAACUAAAACACCCAUCACAUUGAUGACAUAUAAUUUUUUAAACAAAAAUCCUUCUAUAAAUCUAACUUUAUAGACAUAAAUGACAUUAAACAGGGACUUCGAUUUUAAACUUACAACAUUUCACACAUAUCUAAUCGAAAUGAGAUUCGCGGGAACGCGGCUCUGAAGAAAAUCUUUCGUUUCAAAUUAAAAAAAACAUGAAUAACAGGACUUGGCAGAAACGAACAAAAAACGUCAACAGCUGUCCCACGUGAAGCCGUUCCUUACCUCAAAAGUUGCGGCAGAACUUUCUAGAGAGAUUGCGUUUGAACUUUACCACGCCAGAACUUCAGAGACUCAUAAUGCUGAGGAUAUAACAACUUUAAGAAAAGGUGAAAAACCAUCGUGGGAAUUUACUACCGUUGCCAUAACAGAAAUCCAUGGCAAUAUCUACAUCUCUGCUUCCAUCUUCUCAACGGUUACAAGUAAUAAUGAAGGAGCGGAUUUCGGAUUGGACGAAGUCGAUAUGGCCAUCGCCUCAAAAGUUGUAAAAUCUGCACAUGUAUGUUUACAAUUUAGUGACAAAUGUACCUUCUGUACUCGUUCAGUUGGUCCCCCGGAAAGACUUAGCGGUUAGUUUUAGAUUCCUUCGGGAAAAUUCCAGUCUAUUUUUAGAACAAAGAGAGAAAACGUUGUCGGUUAUUCUCUCAGUGUGAGCAAGUAAGUGUGAGCAAGGAAGACGGAGAAGUAAGACGUAGAAAAAAGUACCAUUUUGUAACUCACGCAAGAAAGUCACAUAUUUUUGUACUGUUCACAUUAUUCUUGUUUUUAAUAGUGACAGUUGAAAUAAAUAACGUAAUUUUGUGACAUUAAGAAAAUAUAUUUAUGUAUCGUUCUCAAAGUGGAAUUUAUUUGGAAUUACCACAUCCCCCUUAGCUAUAACGAGUGCGAGGACGAUACACCUAUGUAUUAACGUUGAGCUGGAUUUAAUCUUUCCGACACGAACUAAACGAACUAAGUUUCAUAGAUUAAACAACUCUCAAUAAUUAAAUACAUAUUCGCACACAGCAAACGUCCGGAUUUAAGAGAGAAAUUUAUUUCGUCAAGCAACACUCUAGCCCAACAAAUAGUGUAGAGAGUCGAGGCGCACACGCAGAAGCACAGUUGAUCAAUGAAAUCAAACUAAAUCAGAAACCAGGGGAUAAAUUUGUUCUCGGAGUAAAUAAGCCUCUCUGCGAUAUGUGUGCAGAUGCUGUCCCUGCCAGAAUUGCUGAGGGAAUCGAACACGUGGAAGUUGGUUACAUUGACAAAGAUGGGAAUACCGUUACAAAAAGCUUGUCAGGUUUACGGAAAGAAUGGGAUCCAAGUAAACGCGUAGAUCCAGCUUACAGACGGCCUGAAAAUAUUAAAAUUAAAGUUCACGAGGAUAUCUUUAAGGGUGAGAACAAUAUUUUUGAUCGGCGUUAUGCAAAUAAAUGUCCGGAUUGUGAAGCAUUAUACGGGUUAACAGGGUUUAAGGGGGAAAGAGAAAAAGCGAAAAAUACUAAAUUCUAACAGAGGUGCAAAAGAAGAAACUCGUAAGCUAGCCAGAACAUAUUACAAACAAAGAAGGGAUGCAAAUCCAGGAAGUACAAGGGACUCGUGCCGUACAUGUCUUAACGAGCUGAGUAAUAACAAAGCAAACCAUUCUAACCUGCGUUCUAGGAUGCGUUCGAACUGGAUAAACAGGGUAAACAGGGUAAACAGGAACUGGAUAAGCAAGUAUGAAAGGAUUUAUGUGCGCACAACUAAACAAAAGACUCGUCGCCAGUUGCAUCGUUUAGCUAAAACUUUUCAACAUGUGUAAAAAUUUAAUUUUCAGCAAUUAAACAUGCAAGUUAAUUUUAUUGACAUAUUUACCCAUUUUCAAAUGCGACACGACAACGAAUAUAGUGCACAAUAUAAUUUAUUUUAGUAUAAUUCUAACAAACAUUUUCAUUGUCGGUGACAAAAAUAAAAGUUUAUUUCAAGAAAAAGUAGAACAUUAAAAGAAUUGAAAACCAAUUGCAUAUGUAUAAACCCAAUAACUUAUUAAUAGCUAAAACGCCUAGCCUCUAAAUAAUCCAAU